CACGUGAAAUUUGAAAACUGCAUUGGAUGAGAUUAAAUUCUAUAUACAACUAGUAAUUGUCCAGCUUCAUUGCUCAUUUUCAAGCAAAGGGCACGGGUAAGCACUUCCCCCAGUGGCUCCAGCUUGGGGGACAUGCAGAUCAUCAACAAGAGGAAAACAAGAGGAGAAACAGCCCUCCUGCCCCAGGGGACCGGAAAGCCAGCCACGCUCCUGGGUGGACAGCCCCUCUGGGAUCAGCCACACUCUCCAGCCCAGUGGUCCAGCUUCGCUCACUAUUUAACCAAGUGAAAUGGGGUUUCCUGCUUGUAGUAAAUGCUCAUCUAUAAUUUGGGAAGGAAGACACCUUCUCUGCCCCUUGACUAAAACACCCAAUCAAACCACCAUCCCAGAGGGCCCUGCUACUCCAGUAGGUGAGAGCUGCUUCACCACGCACCCGCAGCGGAUAGCAGAGUGAACCGUAUCAGUAAAACCCCAGAAGAACUGCGACAUUACCCUGGCAGCGUACUUAUUCUUGUCUGGCUGGAUGAUCUUCAAGUCUAGAAUGAGCUCGGCAAGCACCAGGAGGGCAUCCAGGACGACCAGGCAAAUGAUGAUGACCUGCGGGCCGAGGGAAUGGGCCAGAAACGUGAGACUCAAGCAGGCACGCUACUCCCACCUUAAGCGCUGGUUUGGAGAUGGCUGGGUGAAACUACCGGUAAAGAUCCUGGGAGGGAGCCUGAGGGGGCCAGCCUCUGUCCAGCCAAUGGCAAAACCCACCUCUCCCCCCUCCGGGCGGUGCCUGCCUUCCCAGAGCCUCUCUCUUUGCACGGCUCAUCUGCUGACCUCGGUCACUGUUUCUCAAUUUCACCUCUCAAGCCCCACUGCCACUUCCUAGAUGGCAAAAGAUAAAAAAUCUUUUUUAAAGUC